UACAGAGGUCCCGAGCGUUGUUCGGAUUUAUUGGGCGUAAAGCGCACGUAGGCGGCUUGGUAUGUCGGGUGUGAAAUCCCCGGGCUCAACCUGGGAACUGCAUCCGAAACUGCCUUGCUAGAGUAUGGGAGAGGGAAGUGGAAUUUCCGGUGUAGCGGUGAAAUGCGUAGAUAUCGGAAGGAACAUCAGUGGCGAAGGCGACUUCCUGGACCAAUACUGACGCUCAGGUGCGAAAGCGUGGGGAGCAAACAGG
rnacentral:rRNA from 1 species